rnacentral:rRNA from 1 species
UACGUAGGAUGCAAGCGUUGUCCGGAAUUAUUGGGCGUAAAGAGCUCGUAGGCGGCUUGUCGCGUCGGCUGUGAAAACCCGUGGCUCAACCAUGUGGUCUGCAGUCGAUACGGGCAGGCUAGAAUUCGGUAGGGGAGACUGGAAUUCCUGGUGUAGCGGUGAAAUGCGCAGAUAUCAGGAGGAACACCGGUGGCGAAGGCGGGUCUCUGGGCCGAUAUUGACGCUGAGGAGCGAAAGCGUGGGGAGCGAACAGG